AUUGUAGCUGAUGUUUUUUUUUUAUAUUUUUUAUGAUGAUGCCAUGCCACUCGAGAUAGUGACGCGAUGAUUUCCGUUGCCAGACUCUCAUUAAAAUGCAAUCAACGGAGUGCAGUGAGCGGCUCCCCAUUCGAGGUGAAACAAAUUUGAAGUUUUGCUGCGUGCCAGUGGAAAGGAGUUGACACGGAAUUUUGAGGGUCCUGUUACUUCAUUGUGAGUGUGAAAAGUAAAAUGAUGCGCGCUAUUUUGGAAACAUUAGCGGAAUUUGGUAACGAAGCGGUCUCCAUCAACACUUUGUAUGCGGAAGUUCGCAACACUAGGACUGUUCGUAGAAUUGAACCAGGAAACCGGUUCAGUGAGUUCCUGGAUAUUCUUCGCGAAGCGGAGCGGGCAAAUUUGAUAUGUAUGCAAGACUACGGGAGGGUUCGACUGAAUAACUACGGAUUAGCAGGAAUAAUUGCACAAAUUGAAUUUUUGCAAUACCACCCAAGAUCAAGCAGAUGGCGCAGAAGGUAUCGGGGCUUACCGUUCCGGCGUAUCCGUUGGCUUUCAUAUAGGAACAGACCCAGACCUGCUGGUGGACGCAAUAGUAUUGGGUGAUGAAUUGGUGAUAAGAAACAUUUUGAAUAUGUUGUAUUUUAUAAACAAAACUUGUUUCAAGAGUUUAGUUCGGAGAUCAUAGUUUGAACAUUUUUGUGGUCAAAACAAUAUAUCCGUGCACAGGAGAUCUUUUGCGAAGAGGCUUUAAACAAUUUCAACUUUUUGAUAGUUUCUAUACAGUUUGUCAUGGUAGUCUUUCGAUCUGGAGAUGGACCAUAGAAUAAUAAUAAACCGUUGUGAACGUAUUUACAUGCACUGCACUCAACCUGAACUUGAUCGACAUCAGUCCUAACGAACUUCACAUAGUUUUGAUUGAUUUGAAAUAAAAUAGUAGCACUUUUUUAUUACUGACUAAAUUAUUAAAAAAUAAUUUCAGCACGACGAAGCUUUUCCGUCAAACGCGUUCGGUGGGGAGCGCCACCAGAGCCAAUAAUUUGGAGUGAAAAAUAAGUUCAGUAGAAAUUAGCAAAGUGUUUUUUUCUAAAAAUUGGAGCGUUCGUGUGAAUCUAUUCUAACAAAUAACAAGUUCGAAUGUGAAA